GAUGAAGAACGCAGCGAAAUGCGAUAAGUAAUGUGAAUUGCAGAAUUCAGUGAAUCAUCGAAUCUUUGAACGCACAUUGCGCCCGUCAGUAUUCUGGCGGGCAUGCCUGUUCGAGCGUCAUUACGCCCCUCAAGUCCCCUGUGGACUUGGUGUUGGGGAUCGGCGAGGCUGGUUUUCCAGCACAGCCGUCCCUUAAAUUAAUUGGCGGUCUCGCCGUGGCCCUCCUCUGCGCAGUAGUAAAACACUCGCAACAGGGGCCCGGCGCGGUCCACUGCCGUAAAACCCCCCAACUUUUUAUAGUUGACCUCGAAUCAGGUAGGACUACCCGCUGAACUUAAGCAUAUCAAUAAGCGGAGGA
rnacentral:misc_RNA from 1 species